GGGUCCAUUCCACGGAUUCCGUGACGCAGCUAACGCAUUAAGUUCCCCGCCUGGGGAGUACGGCCGCAAGGCUAAAACUCAAAGGAAUUGACGGGGACCCGCACAAGCGGCGGAGCAUGCGGAUUAAUUCGAUGCAACGCGAAGAACCUUACCAAGGCUUGACAUAUACGAGAACGGGCCAGAAAUGGUCAACUCUUUGGACACUCGUAAACAGGUGGUGCAUGGUUGUCGUCAGCUCGUGUCGUGAGAUGUUGGGUUAAGUCCCGCAACGAGCGCAACCCUCGUUCUAUGUUGCCAGCACGUAAUGGUGGGAACUCAUGGGAUACUGCCGGGGUCAACUCGGAGGAAGGUGGGGAUGACGUCAAAUCAUCAUGCCCCUUAUGUCUUGGGCUUCACGCAUGCUACAAUGGCCGGUACAAAGGGCUGCAAUACCGUGAGGUGGAGCGAAUCCCAAAAAGCCGGUCCCAGUUCGGAUUGAGGUCUGCAACUCGACCUCAUGAAGUCGGAGUCGCUAGUAAUCGCAGAUCAGCAACGCUGCGGUGAAUACGUUCCCGGU
rnacentral:rRNA from 1 species